UACGUAGGGGGCAAGCGUUGUCCGGAAUUAUUGGGCGUAAAGAGCGCGUAGGCGGUCCGAUAAGUCGGCUGUGAAAGUCAGGGGCUCAACCCUUGGAAGCCGGCCGAUACUGUCGGACUAGAGUCCGGAAGAGGCGAGUGGAAUUCCCGGUGUAGCGGUGAAAUGCGCAGAUAUCGGGAGGAACACCAAUGGCGAAGGCAGCUCGCUGGGACGGUACUGACGCUGAGGCGCGA
rnacentral:rRNA from 1 species